UAUAUGUAGAAACUGCGAACGGCUCAUUAAAACAGUUAUAGUCUACUUGACAUUUUUUUUAUAAGGAUAACUACGGAAAAGCUGUAGCUAAUACUUGCUUUAAUACUCUUAAUUCUUUAUGUUUUUUGAGUAUGUAUUUGUUAAGCCUUAUAAGAGAAAAGUUUAUUAACUUAAGGAAUUAUAACAAAGAAGUAACACAUAAUAAAUUUCGAUUUAUUUAGUGUGUAUCAAUCGAGUUUCUGACCUAUCAGCUUUUGAUGUUAGGGUAUUGGCCUAACAUGGCUAUGACGGGUAACGGGGAAUUAGAGUUCGAUUCCGGAGAGGGAGCCUGAGAAAUAGCUACCACAUCUAAGGAAGGCAGCAGGCGCGUAAAUUACCCAAUUCUAAAGAAGAGAGGUAGUGACAAGAAAUAACAAUGCAAGGCCAAAUUUUGGUUUUGCAAUUGGAAUGAUGGGAAUUUAAAACCUUCCCAGAAGGCAAUUGGAGGGCAAGUCUGGUGCCAGCAGCCGCGGUAAUUCCAGCUCCAAUAGCGUAUAUUAAAAUUGUUGCAGUUAAAACGCUCGUAGUUGAAUUUCAAGGAAUCAAUAUUUUAAGCAAUGCUUUGUAUAUUUUUAACAAAGUUGUACAUUAAGAAUAAACGCUAUAAGUGUUAUAUUCUUUCUGUUACAUUUUGUUUUAUUAAUAUGCAUAUGCGUUCUUAUUAUAAAAAUGAUUCUUUUUAAAAUUCUCUUGUAUAAUUUUUUAUGCAUGGGAAUUUUGUUACUUUGAGUAAAUUAGAGUGUUCAAAGCAAACAGUUAAAACAGUUUCUGUGUUUGAAUACUACAGCAUGGAAUAACAAAAUUGAACAAGUCAAAAUUUUGUUCUUUUUUCUUAUUUUGGCUUAGUUACGAUUAAUAGGAGUAGCUUGGGGGCAUUUGUAUUCAGAUGUCAGAGGUGAAAUUCUUAGAUUUUCUGGAGACAAGCAACUGCGAAAGCAUUUGCCUAAAAUACUUCCAUUAAUCAAGAACGAAAGUUAAGGGAGUGAAGACGAUCAGAUACCGUCGUAAUCUUAACCAUAAACUAUGCCGACUAGGUGUUGGAUGAUAGAGUAAAAAAUAAAAGAAAUAUUCAUAUUAAUGAGUAUUUCUUUUAGAUAGCUUCCUUCAGUACCUUAUGAGAAAUCAAAGUCUUUGGGUUCUGGGGCGAGUAUUCGCGCAAGCGAGAAAGUUAAAAGAAUUGACGGAAGGGCACCACCAGGCGUGGAGCUUGCGGCUUAAUUUGACUCAACACGGGGAAACUCACUAGUUUAAGACAAGAGUAGGAUUGACAGAUUAAUAGCUCUUUCUUGAUUUCUUGGAUGGUGAUGCAUGGCCGUUUUUAGUUCGUGAAUAUGAUUUGUCUGGUUAAUUCCGAUAACGAACGAGAUCUUAACCUGCUAAUUAGCGGUAAAUACACCAUAUUCUUAAGUGAAAUUCGAAUAUAGAUAAAUUGUGCUAAUUUCGAUUAAAAUAUUAGAAUGUUUUUUUUAAUAAAAACGUUCUUUUCCCUUUUUUUCUUAAUUAUGCAUAUUUAUUCUUUUUCUUUUUUUGCAUAAGAAUGUAUUUGCUUAAUUGUAAAGCUUCUUAGAGGAACGAUGUGUGUCUAACACAAGGAAGUUUAAGGCAACAACAGGUCUGUGAUGUCCUUAGAUGAACUAGGCUGCACGCGUGCUACACUGAUAUGUAUAACGAGUAUUUAAAAAUAUAUAUCUUGUUAUGUUAUACGUAUUUCUAUAUGUAUGCAUGCAAAGAAUAUAUAGUUUUCCUCCACUGAAAAGUGUAGGUAAUCUUUUUCAAUACAUAUCGUGAUGGGGAUAGAUUAUUGCAAUUAUUAAUCUUGAACGAGGAAUGCCUAGUAAGCAUGAUUCAUCAGAUUGUGCUGACUACGUCCCUGCCCUUUGUACACACCGCCCGUCGCUCCUACCGAUUGAAAGAUAUGAUGAAUUGUUUGGACAAGGAAAAAGGGUUUUUAUUCUUUUUUCUGG
rnacentral:rRNA from 1 species